rnacentral:lncRNA from 1 species
AUGUUGGGAUUGUGCAAAAAGAAGAUAUUUGUCUGGAGUUUAUACUUAAAAAUAACUGUUGUUAAGCCAAAGAAUGUGGGGGUACUUCUUCUACACAGAUCCUCCUUCUGAAGAUGUUGGUCUUCUUCCUUGCCUGCCACCCCCUCCCACACUUGAUUCAAAUGGAAGGUUGACUUUCUUGGAUGGCAAGGAUUAUGUUCACUCUCCCCUUCUGGAACUGUUCUCUGUGGAUAUGUCCCGUGAUCGUCAGAUCAACAUUCUGAGCUUGUGCUUAGAAACCAUCUUUGGAGGGUGUCAAUGCAUCUUACAUAAUCACGAGUUUAUUUGUGACAGAAAAGAAAAAGCUAAAGACAGAUGGCAGAUAUGUAAUGCAAUGAGAAGACUUUGAUGAGACUCUUGGUCAAUCAAAUCAACUGUAAAUGGACUUCUUUGGAACAACUGGGGACAUUUAGAUACAGGUAUGUGGGAAAUGAUAUUAAGGAACUUCAUGGGUGGAAAAAUGGCACGGCUACAAAUGAAAAUAUCUACAAUGCUGAGAGAUGUGUACGAAAGUAUGAGAGGAGAUAUGACUGAGGUCUGGGACUUGCUUUAAAACACUUUAGUCGAGAAAAGUGAGGAAGAAAUGGAGUAGCUACGGCAAAAUCCUUGAGAAUUGUUGAAUUUGGAUGAUGGCAUAUAGGGCUCAGAAUGUUAUUCUUUCUACCUCUAUAUAUUUGAAUUUUUCAUAAUAAAAAAUGUUUAAAGACUUUGUUGAAGUACUUGCCCCAUUUUAAAAAGAGGAGAAG